rnacentral:rRNA from 1 species
CUAGUUGGUGAGGUAAAGGCUAUCAAGGCGACGAUCUGUAGCGGGUCUGAGAGGAUGAUCCGCCACACUGGAACUGAGACACGGUCCAGACUCCUACGGGAGGCAGCAGUGGGGAAUUUUGGACAAUGGGGGCAACCCUGAUCCAGCCAUGCCGCGUGAGUGAAGAAGGCCUUCGGGUUGUAAAGCUCUUUCGGCCGGGAAGAAAUCGCAUGGGCCAAUACCCUGUGUGGAUGACGGUACCGGAAUAAGAAGCACCGGCUAACUACGUGCCAGCAGCCGCGGUAAUACGUAGGGUGCGAGCGUUAAUCGGAAUUACUGGGCGUAAAGCGUGCGCAGGCGGUUUUGUAAGACAGGCGUGAAAUCCCCGGGCUUAACCUGGGAACUGCGUUUGUGACUGCAAGGCUAGAGUACGGCAGAGGGGGGUGGAAUUCCACGUGUAGCAGUGAAAUGCGUAGAGAUGUGGAGGAACACCAAUGGCGAAGGCAGCCCCCUGGGUCGAUACUGACGCUCAUGCACGAAAGCGUGGGUAGCAAACAGGAUUAGAUACCCUGGUAGUCCACGCCCUAAACUAUGUCAACUAGGUGUUGGGUGGGUAAAACCAUUUAGUACCGUAGCUAACGCGUGAAGUUGACCGCCUGGGGAGUACGGCCGCAAGGUUAAAACUCAAAGGAAUUGACGGGGACCCGCACAAGCGGUGGAUGAUGUGGAUUAAUUCGAUGCAACGCGAAAAACCUUACCUACCCUUGACAUGCCAGGAACUUGCCAGAGAUGGCUUGGUGCCCGAAAGGGAGCCUGGACACAGGUGCUGCAUGGCUGUCGUCAGCUCGUGUCGUGAGAUGUUGGGUUAAGUCCCGCAACGAGCGCAACCCUUGUCGUUAAUUGCCAUCAUUUGGUUGGGCACUUUAACGAGACUGCCGGUGACAAACCGGAGGAAGGUGGGGAUGACGUCAAGUCCUCAUGGCCCUUAUGGGUAGGGCUUCACACGUCAUACAAUGGUCGGUACAAAGGGCUGCCAAGCCGCGAGGCGGAGCCAAUCCCAGAAAGCCGAUCGUAGUCCGGAUUGCAGGCUGCAACUCGCCUGCAUGAAGUCGGAAUCGCUAGUAAUCGUGGAUCAGCAUGUCACGGUGAAUACGUUCCCGGGUCUUGUACACACCGCCCGUCACACCAUGGGAGCGGGUUCCGCCAGAAGUAGGUAGCCUAACCGCAAGGGGGGCGCUUACCACGGCGGGGUUCGUGACUGGGGUGAAGUCGUAACAAGGUAGCCGUAGGGGAACCUGCGGCUG